GCUUAGGGCUGGCGUUACAGCUCGCCGCAUUGCGCGAUCAAGCGAUCCACCCAUCGUGUCUUUGUUCUAGGGCUCCCAGCGAGAGAGAUAGCAGCAGAUUGGAGCAAUCGCGUUGGAUUGGAGGCGGGGUUCUCAUCUAUGGCACAGCUCUCUCGUAUCUACACGAUCGAUCUACGCCCGAGGGAUCGGCUCUAGUCGCAAUGUUGGCCGCGAUGCCGGCUCACGUCACGAGUUUUAGGACGAGAGUAGGCGCGAGCAAAGAUUUUCAUUUUCUUUUUCCGACACCUACAUUCGUUUCUACCCAGAAAAAAAGUUUCGUUUCUCUUUUGCAUGGAAACUUAACUGGCUCGGAGUGAUAUGGUGAUCAGUAGCCACAGUUUUGACUCCACUGUGCCUUGAUUCACGAGUAUAACUGGCCCUCGGUUUUCUUCACGUUUGGUUCGUUGGGAGUGGUCUGGUUUACAUUCUGGCAGAAAACCGUGAGUUCGCUCAUACUUUGCAUUACUUUUUUUUGUUUCUCAGGCAUAUAGCUCGCCUGUGGAAGAUAUCACACUUUCAGAGGAAGAGAUUGCCCCGGCUCUAUUUAAUUACAUGAAAGUUAAGUGAGAAAUAACAAGCUCGAGCGAAGAGGACGAAGAGCACAAAUCCAGUGAUUCAGGUUGUCACACCAGACAAUGGAGUGUGGUUUGCUCUCAAGCCCGCGGCCAACCAGAGUGAGGACUCGGUGCUUCCCGAUCAUAACACCCUACGUGAGAAUAACGUAAGACGAUUUCAACUCCACCGACUUCUCUAAACACGCAGAGGUAGGCAACUUCCCAUAUUGCUGGUCAAGAAGUACAUUGCGACGAAGCUAAACCUCGGCAAUGAAACCGACGUCGAACUGAAUUGCCGUGGCCCCAGGAGAAGGAGGAAGGUGAUGCAAUCCAUUGGUUUUCUUGGCCGGUAUUACACAGCUUAGCCAUGUCUGUUCGCCUUUUCUGUGUAUGAUGGCCCAGUCGGGAUAUUGGCGGUAAUUAACUAGUACUUCUGGCCGGAACUGAUACUAAGCUUGUAACAGGGAGUACUCUCCAAUACUUCCGGAGUUCUUGCUGGUGUCAUAGCAACAGCUGCAACAUGUUUUCGAUUUGGUUGUUACUUUUUCUUAGAGCUAUUUUUGUUCUCUCCAGGAGCAGCACAUUCAGCGAGUAGCGGACCGACCAGACAAGCAGCCUGAGCCAAGCAAGCAGCAAUCCAGCACUAGCCAGGCAGCCACAGCCGAGCAAGCAGCUAUCCAGCUCCAUCCAACAACGCAGCGGUGCUCUAACAAGCAGCUCCAGGAAGCAGCGAUCGAACUUGGUCCAACUCCAUCCAGCAAGCAGCGAUCCAACUUGGUCCAACUCCAUCUAGCAACACAGAUCCAGCUCCAUCCAGCAAUGCAGCAGUGCAGCCACGAGCAAGUAGCCCCAGCUGCAGCCACGGCCGAUUCAGCUCCACCCGUGAGCAGCGCAGGAGCGACGGUCUAGAUUCUAAUAUAAUUAACGAUUCAGAUUUCUUCUUAACGUUCGAAGCUUAUGUGACAUCUAAUAUGGAAAUUCUCCUAUUAAGUGGACAGUAAA